AGGGAAAACCUGAGGGGUCUUACGCUUUCAAUCCAGUCAUUGAUUGCUGUGGGUGCAGACUGUGGUGAACUGGUGGGAAUAAAAGGCAACCACUUUCCUGGCCCUUCACGAUCUAGUUAAGCACUUGAAUGACAGAAUGUUGGCACCAGCACUGGAAGAACUAAUCAGCCUCAACUCCAGAAUUCCCCCUUUCCCUUAGCAGGCAGAAAAUAUGGUCUCCUCCAAGGACACUGGCAACGCCACCUCCGUUAAUCAACUAGGGGGAACUCCCACUGGAAUGUAGUCAAUGUCCCAUCCCAGAAGUCCUAGCAACAAGUCACCUCAACAGUGCACCUGGUCACCCUUGAACUGGUUGCUACAACAUG